ACUCAAAUGAAUUGACGGGGGCCCGCACAAGCAGCGGAGCAUGUGGUUUAAUUCGAAGCAACGCGAAGAACCUUACCAAGGCUUGACAUCUACUUAAACCCAUGGAAACAUGGGGUCCCUUCGGGGGAAGUAAGACAGGUGGUGCAUGGUUGUCGUCAGCUCGUGUCGUGAGAUGUUGGGUUAAGUCCCGCAACGAGCGCAACCCUUAUUACCAGUUACCAGCGGGUUAGGCCGGGGACUCUGGUGAGACUGCCGGGGACAACUCGGAGGAAGGUGGGGACGACGUCAAAUCAUCAUGCCCCUUACGUCUUGGGCUACACACGUGCUACAAUGGCUGAAACAAAGGGAAGCGACACUGCAAAGUGAAGCGAAUCUCAUAAAAACAGUCCCAGUUCGGAUUGUGGGCUGCAACCCGCCCACAUGAAGUCGGAGUUGCUAGUAAUCGCGGAUCAGCAUGCCGCGGUGAAUACGUUCCCGGGCCUUGUACACACCGCCCGU
rnacentral:rRNA from 1 species